UCCUUCUUGUCUGUUCUUGAUUUUCAACUUCUCAGUUCUACUUUCAGAUUUAAGGUUGUUUUCCCUCCUUGAUCUCACCAUGCAUCCAGUGCUACAUCCAGAUUUAAUGGCACAGUACAGAACUAAUUAUUAAUUAACUUUGCAGUAUUGAAAGGUGGUGUGGACAAAAUCACCGUGACAUGGGGGCUGAACCAGACCGUCGCAGCUGGGACUGACUCGACCUACAAGACCAUCAAGGUCAAGCUAUGCUACGCUCCCAUAAGCCAAGUUGACCGUGGGUGGAGGAAAACUGUUGACAAUCUAAAAAAGGACAGGACUUGCCAGCAUAAGAUCGUUGCUAGACCUUACAACGCUGCUAACAGCACCGCCCAGUCCCAUGAGUGGACUGUUGAGCGUGACGUGCCCACUGCCACGUACUUCGUUCGAGCCUACGCAUACGACGCAGAUGAAAAGGUGGUGGCUUACGGGCAAACAACAGAUGCACGCAAGACCACCAAUCUGUUUCGAGUCCAAGCAAUCAGUGGACGCCACGUCACAAUGGAUACUUGCUCAAUAUGCUUUAGUGUUUUCUCUGUCGUGUCCUUGUUUGGUUUCUUCUACAAUGAGAAGAGAAAGGCAAAGAGGCCUCAGUGAAGUGAACGAGGGAAAAAAGAAGGUGAAGUUUGCAGCGCUACUUUUGAAGAGUUUGAGGGACAUGAAUGAAGAAAAGAAAGGACAGUCUUGAAUUUUAUAUCCAUGUAUUAGUUAAUAUAAUUUGUAUAUUAACGAUGAUGAAACAAUGAUAUGAUUAUCCAUGCCAUGCCCUUCUCAACACAAAUAAAUAAAUGCUAAUUGCAAAUUGAAAUAAAUGGAUGGAGGACUCAUUUAAAUUAUUAGAAUUGUUUUCGCUAAUUAAUAUCUUGAGAACUGCUCGACAACUAUAUAGUUUGGAGACUCAUGAGAACUUUUUUUUUUCUUUUUAUAUUCUUCUACGAUUAUUUGGUUUGCACCCGGCCAAGUGGAUCCUGAAUUUAGCGUACUUCAUCGAAAUUAUAACUCAAAUGUAAUUUUACAAUUAUUGAACUUAAACUAGAUCGAGAGAGGAAAAAACAAAGGUUAAAUAGAGGUGGAAACUGAAAAAAAAUGAUCUAAGAAUUAUGAUGAAGAAGAGUUGUAAAAUUAUGUAAAAUUCUACGAAAACACUCUUUCUUUAGCCUAUUUUUAUAGUGAAUUUUGAAAAUAAAACUGAUAUAUAAUUAAUUUUGAUAAUUAAUAAUAUUAAUUCUUGCUACUACAUCUUUUAAUUGAAAUAAAUUUUUCUAGAAACUAUUGAGGUUUAAAAAGGUUACUAAAAAGAUUGAUCACACUUUGUUCAUAGGCUGAACAUAUUAAUGGACUCAUAAAAAAUAAUUCUUCAUGGGAAUUGUUUUUUUAUAAACUCGAAUCUAAGCAUAGAAAAAUAGAUUAGCGAAAAAAAAUCCAUUUGUAAUUCAAAAAAAUAUUUCACGAUAAACUCAUACCCAAGUUGAGCCAAGCCAUACGCACUUGUGUGUAUGUGUUUUAAGUUCAAAACCUGCUUUACUUAGGUCAUUUUCCUCUAAAAACCUGGGGCGUCAUAUGGAUCUAAUUUUAACUCUUUAUCUUCCCACUAUAUAAACAACAAAAAAGUCUUCAUUCUAGGGGUUAUUAUUUUCAGUUCGGUUUUUAUAAAAAAAAAAGUAACAAAACUAGUUUUUUUAUAAAAAAAAAUGAAACCGAACCGAUACUGGUUUCGAUUCGGAUAUUUCAGAACAAAUUUGGCUUGAUUUUUUCCGGUUUGGCUCAGUUUUUUCCGGUUUGGCUUGGUUUCCGGUUCGGCUCAGUUUUUUUCAAUUUGGAUUCGGUUUGGCUUUUUCAGUUUCAGGUUUAUAAAACCGAAAGCGAACAUAACCGAUCAAUUUUAAAAAAAAUUUAAUCGGUUUAAUCAGUUUUUUUUCACGGUUUGGUUUUUUCAGUUAUUUUGUUUCUGGUUUUCUUGAUUUAAUCGAUUUUUCAGUUUUUUUUUCUCACUCCUACUUGAUUCUUUCCUGUGUUGGUUAGAGUUUUAGAGGGUUUUGGUUUUCUCCAAAAAUAUGUUAAUCAUGAAUUUUUUAAGAUCAAUUUAUUAUUCAUCUAUAAUUUAUUUUAAUCAUCUCAAUGUUCCAUAUUAAAAAAAAUUAUAUUAGAGAAUCAAAUUUAAUAGAAUUUUAAUUUUAAAAGUGAGUAACAUCCACUUUUAAUUUGACUCUAAAUGUACCCAUUAAUCAUGUUUCAAACAAAAUUUUCCAACACCAAUCACUUGUAAAAAAAAUUUAUAUGCAUCGUGAGUUAAAUGAGAGGAUUUAUAUGCAUCAACCUGAAGGUUUCAUUUCUAAAGAUAAAAUAAAACCAUGCGUGCUUAUUGAAGAUGUCAUUGUAUGAGUUGAAAUAGUCAUUGAGGUAAUGGUAUAAAAAUAUUUGAUAUUUUUAUUCUUGAACAUGGUUAUUUUAUGAGUGACUAUAUUAGUUAUGUGUAUUUCAAUAAGCUCUUAAAUGGUUCGUUUAUGUACUUGUAGUUGUAUGCUUAUGACCUAUUGAUUGUCUUAAGUAGUGAGUUUGAGAUGAAAGAUUUGGAUGCAACUAAGAAGAUAUUAGGUAUAGAGAUACAUAGAGAUCUUGAAAAGUUAUACUUGUCAUAAAGAAAAUAUCUUGAAAAGGUACUCGAGCUUUUUGGUAUGCAAGACUACAAGCCAGUGGGUACUCCACUUUUAGCCUAUUCAUAUCAUCUUCGGGUUUGUCAUAAGAAACUGAAGAGAAGAAAAAGCACAUGUCAAGUGUUCUAUAUGCUAGUGCAAUUAGAAGCAUUAUAUAUGUUAUGGUUUGCACUCAUCUAGACAUUUUACAUGUUGUUAGUGUAGUUAACAAGUUUAUAGGAAAUCCUAGUAUAGUUCACUAAUAGGCUGUGACAUGGAUACUCUGUUAUCUUACAAGUACUACAAAUGACUUGGUAUAUGAUAAAGGGUAGUAACACUAGAAAUAAUGUUGGUGACUUUGUAGAUUUAGAUUAUAUUGAUGGUUUGGAUAUGAUGAAAUUGUUGAUGAAUUAUGUUUCACUCUCUCGGGGUGUGUCAUUAGUUGGAAAGCAAUUUUACAAUUCAUUGUUACCUUGUCUAUAAUAGGGGUUGAGUAUAUGGUAUUGACAAAGAUAAUAAAAGAAGCUUUAUGGUUAAAAGGUUUGGUUGGCAAUCUUGAUCUGUCAUAUGAGUUGAUCGUUAUACAUUAUAAUGGCUAGAGUGAUAUUCAUCUGGCCAAGAACUAGAUUUACCAUGAAAGGACUAGAGUGAAUUGACUAUCAGGUAUCACUUCAUUCUAGAUAUCAUGUCACAAGGUAUUGUAUCAAUGAAAAAGAUUUCUACAACUAAAAACCCUGCCGAUAUGUUGACGAUAUCUAUCUUGAUAAUCAAGUUCAAGCAUUACUUGGAUUUGAUUGAUUUGUGUAAUACUUUAAAUAUGUUUGGUGGAGGCAAUCAGAAAGGAGUUCAAGAUUCGUAAGUUGACUCAAUUUAAGCCAAGGUGGAGAUUUAUUGGAUUUGUUUUAAAUUAUAGGCCCAAGUGAAAAAAUAAAUACUCAUGUAUUUAGUUCAUAUAUAAAAGCCUACAAUUAUCAUAUUUUAAGGUUGAGACUUAUUUGUAAGUACCUUUAUUCUCUAUACUUUGAUGGUUAGAGAGAAGAGAGAAAAUGUAAGUUUUGAGUUAUUUUAUGAUUUUGGGUGAGAGAACAAUUUAUGUGACAUAUUGUAAUCUUUUAUUUUCUCAUAGUUAAUUUUCUUGAUCUUUUCGCCUAUGGAGUAGGCCUAAAUUGUUGAACAACGUAAAUUCUUUAUGUGUUCUUUAGUGAUUAAUUGUGUUUAUAUAUACUUGCUAAUUAGUUUGAGAUUCUAGAGUUGUUUUCGCAACACUAAUCGAUGCUCUUUUUGCAUAAUAAUUCUCACAUAUUUUUCAUAUAGAGCGUGUUUAGUAUUGUGGUAGCAGUUAUUUUUCAAAGUGCUUUUUGCUUAAAAAUACAUCAAAAUAAUAUUUUUUUUUAAAAAAAAUUAUUUUUAAUACCAACACAUUAAGAUGAUCUGAAAAUAUUAAAAAAAAUUAAUUGAAGUAAAAUAAAAAUUAUUUUUUUAAAAAAAAUAUUUUUAAAAUGCAAAAACAACAUGUGAAUAAUAAGAUCAACAAUUAAAUGUAAUUGGCAAGGAUAACUUGGCUAGUUUUCUUUGGUGCUUUUUGUUUCUCAAACAUGUGACUUGGUCUUUGGCAAUAUUUUUAUGGAAAAUUGUUUAUUUUGAGAGGGUUACCCAAAAUACCCAUUACUUGAAAAUUUCCAGAAUUCUACUAUACGAAUCCGAUUAAGGACGGAUAAUUCGGAUGGAUGUACAGUGCGAUUUGAGAAAAUCUGGCUUGAUAGACAGCUAACUGGUUUUGAGUUGGAUGAUUUGGAAUUAAUUUUCACAAAUGAGCUUACACCUUUCGCCUCUUCCAUUCCAUUCGAUUUGGCUUUUCCUUGGAUUGUCUAGCUAUAGGUCAGCAACUCCCUGCACAAUUCCUAGCUUCCUUGCUUGUUUAAUCUUUUCGAGAUUCCAGGGGACGAGCCAAAACAUAAAAAAAACUCCAAAUAAAAAAAAAAAAUCAAAGAACGAAAAUGUACUUGAUACGGAUACCAUCUACACCUUCUCAUCAAUAUCAUCCACCAAGAAUUUCCACGUUUGUAAAAUACUAAAUAAGUACCUCUAGCCAAAACAAAGUCAAACCUCUUUUUCUUGAUUAAGCAAAACCCGCUUUCACCCCCGCCCUUUCCACUCGUUUAAGGGUCAUGCUCCCUUCUGUGGCAACUCGUUCGGCCUUGUAUUAUAUAAGGUAAACCCAGACAGUCUGCGCUCUCCAUCAAAUCAUCAUUAGUAUCGGUUAUAUACAGUGGGAUCAUAGCCUCUUCUUCUACCUUUCCUAGCUUUUGGUGAUUUGCUUCAAAAGUGUUACCUAUAGAUUGCAAGAAAAGAAAAGUAUAUAUCUAGCAAUGGCAGCACGUGCUCUUCUCUUGGCAUCACUUGUUCUCUCCUGCUUUCUAUUGCCUUGCUAUGGAAUUGUGCUCUUCUCUUCUCUGCAUAGGACUCUUGUAGUCACGGCUUCACCAACAUCCGGACAAGGUAACACCAUCCGCAUGGCAUCGUUUUCUUUCUUGUCUGUUCUUGAUUUUCAACUUCGCAGUUCUACUUUCAGAUUUAAGGUUGUUUUCCCUCCUUGAUCUGAUCACCAUGCAUCCAGUGCUAUAUUCAGAUUUAAUGGCACAGUACAGAACUAAUUAUUAAUUAACUUUGCAGUAUUGAAAGGUGGUGUGGACAAAAUCACCGUGACAUGGGGGCUGAACCAGACCGUCGCAGCUGGGACUGACUCGACCUACAAGACCAUCAAGGUCAAGCUAUGCUACGCUCCCAUAAGCCAAGUUGACCGUGGGUGGAGGAAAACUGUUGACAAUCUAAAAAAGGACAGGACUUGCCAGCAUAAGAUCGUUGCUAGACCUUACAACCCUGCUAACAGCACCGCCCAGUCCCAUGAGUGGACUGUUGAGCGUGACGUGCCCACUGCCACGUACUUCGUUCGAGCCUACGCUUACGACGCAGAUGAAAAGGUGGUGGCUUACGGGCAAACAACAGAUGCACACAAGACC
rnacentral:lncRNA from 1 species